rnacentral:rRNA from 1 species
CCUACGGGAGGCAGCAGUGAGGAAUAUUGGUCAAUGGGAGAGAUCCUGAACCAGCCAAGCCGCGUGAGGGAAGACGGCCCUAUGGGUUGUAAACCUCUUUUGUCGGAGAACAAAACCCGGGACGUGUCCCGGACUGCGUGUAUCCGAAGAAAAAGCAUCGGCUAACUCCGUGCCAGCAGCCGCGGUAAUACGGAGGAUGCGAGCGUUAUCCGGAUUUAUUGGGGUUAAGGGGUUCGUAGGCGGUCCGUUAAGUCAGCGGUAAAAGUGCGGGGCUCAACCCCGUCGAGCCGUUGAAACUGGCAGACUUGAGUUGGCGAGAGGUACGCGGAAUGCGCGGUGUAGCGGUGAAAUGCAUAGAUAUCGCGCAGAACUCCGAUUGCGAAGGCAGCGUACCGGCGCCAGACUGACGCUGAGGCACGAAAGCGUGGGGAUCGAACAGGAUUAGAUACCCUUGUAGUC